GGCCUUUCUCAAAUUAUAUGCAUGCUUUACAUUCCAUCACCAGAGAGAGGCUAACAGGGCAUGAAUGUAAACAAGUAAUGUCUGACCUGAUAGGCCCAAGUGUGUUAAACUUACCGGGGAAAAUAUCAUUUUUAUUGUUGUGUUCCACUCUGUUAUUCCAAUUCUAAAUAUGAUUAUAUGGUUAAUUUUCAUAAAAUACGUAAGGAUGUGAGUUAAAUAAAGGAAGGGAUUGUGAAAAUAAGAUGGGAUGAAUGAGAACAUUUCAAGAUCAAUAUAUGACAUGACAAUAUUGCUCGUUUUGAAGCAUUUCACACAUAUUCAUAAAUGUCUGAAUAGAAUAGAUGUUCCCUCUUGGUUCAACUGGAGUAGUAAUGAACAGACCAGUAAUUAAGAUGAACACUAAAGAAGAUUUUGCCAAAUGAAAGGAAUUCCAUUGGUAACAGUAAUGAACACAAAUUGACAACUGGUAUUUGAAUCGCCUUUAAUUGUACUACCUCUUCAUGGCAGUUGCAGAACAGAUGAAAAAGAAACUAUCAAACAGUUCAAAGAAGAAUUACAGAAAACAGAGGAAGAAAAUAAACAGUGAUAUUAGGAAGAAAAUAAACAGUCAUAUUGAACUUUUGACACAAACAAAUUUUUAAAUGAUAACAGUUGCAUAUCUUGUUUAUACAGGAUUUUCAACAUACGAGGUAUAUAUAUUCAUUACAGUUUUCAAUGUUAACAUCAGCAAAAAACAUUAAGAGCUUUUAUUAUGAAGCAAGCAAAACAAACAGCUUGACUGAUAGAAAGAGAUAGAUGUUGCAAGCUAGAAAAAAUGUAUCUUUAGCAUAUAAGGACCAUUUGUUUAGUCUUUUGUGUCUUAAUUCAAAUAAAAUAAUUAAAAAGAAAUCAUCGCAUUACCUUGUUUUUAACAUUACUUUGUUUUUACAUUGUGCUUUGUUACAUUAUAUGGUACAGCUGCAGGGAAUAUGUCAACAUGGCAAUAACAUUUAAUAUUUUGUCCUCUUAUUGCAUUAUAUCCUGUUGAGUGAAUAUUUCUGGGACUGUUAAAAGAAGUGCUGAAGCUAGAUGCUGUCUUUCCUAAUCCCCCCCCCCCACUGCAAGGUCUGCACAUGUUUUCUGCAAAUGUUCAGUCCCCUAAGUAAAUGGAAUGUCUGGGGUUGGUUAGUCCAGGCAACAUCUUCUGGAAGUGCCGUGUACCCAAUGAUUUGUUAUAUAACAGCUAGUACAGGGUUCAACAAUAUGACCACAUUAUCAAGUCGGACCAACUGGCCAAGUGCAAUAAGCUAAUGAUACCUCAGCUUCGUCUUAAAAUUUGACUGAUAUUUGCAAUUAAAUGAUUAUAAUUUGUUAUAAACUAAGUAAUUAAUACUGUAAUUAAUUAAAACAGUUUUACACCCAUUACUUAGCAUGAAAUGUAUUUUUCUAUUGCUGUAAACAACAUCAGUUACUAGACAGUCAUCCAGAAUUUUUUUAUUUUCAAAUACAAAGUGAAUUAAACUUAUUGUUUUUUUUUAUUUCAAUGGCUAAAUUUAGGGGAAGUAUGGUACAGAAUUCACCAUCCAACUGUUUACAUCUAUUAUCAGUUAAUUGCUUUAUACAUUCUUGACCAACAUGUGUUUAGGUAAGCAAUAAAAUACUGAUAACACAGAUAAUGUCUGUAUAAGUUGCAAAGAGUUAACCUGAUAUUUAUACUUGACACGGAAUAUUAGAAUUACUUGGAAUUAUCAUAAACAUUAAUUCACUUUUCAGGUCUUGAAUACAUGUAUAUCCUUCACUGUAUAUAGCGUAAAAUAAACCUUGUUGUUGAUUUAUAUUUAUUUAUCUCCAGAAGAGAUUUUUGUAAUGUUAAAUAUAACAUUCAACAAGUAUAUAGUACUAUUAGUACUAUACCAAGAUCUUUAAAUCUUUCGGCCAUAUAUUUGUGAUAUGUUUACAUAGAGCAGAUACUGGAGCUUGCCCUGUUAGCCUCGUUCUGAGAAAUCUAUGAAUAUGUAUGAGGUAAUAUUAAGAAGG